rnacentral:rRNA from 1 species
UUAAACUAGGAUUAGAUACCCUAUUAUUAAAAAUUUAAUUAAUAAUUCUAAAAUAGUAGAUAAUAAAUAUUGAAACUUAAAUAAUAUGGCGGUAUUUUAGUUCAUUUAGAGGAAUCUGUUUAAUAAUUGAUAAUCCACGAAUAAAUUUACUUAAUUUAGGAUUUUAUAUAUCGUUGUUAAAAAAAUAUUUUAUAAUAAAAAUAAUAUUUAAAAAUUUUAAAAAUAAAUUAAUUCAGAUCAAGAUGUAGAUUAUAAUUAAGAAUAUAAUGGAUUACAAUAAAAUAAUUUAAAAUGGAUAAUUAAUUUUAAAAUUAAUUUAAAGGUGGAUUUAAAUGUAAUUUUAAUUAAUCUACUCAAAUCAUUUUGGGGGU